rnacentral:rRNA from 1 species
UACAGAGGGGGCAAGCGUUGUUCGGAAUUACUGGGCGUAAAGGGCGCGUAGGCGGCCUGUUAAGUCGAACGUGAAAUCCCCGGGCUCAACCCGGGAACUGCGUCCGAUACUGGCAGGCUUGAAUUCGGGAGAGGGAUGCGGAAUUCCAGGUGUAGCGGUGAAAUGCGUAGAUAUCAGGAGGAACACCGGUGGCGAAGGCGGGUCUCUGGGCAACUACUGACGCUGAGGAGCGAAAGCGUGGGGAGCGAACAGG